CCUACGGGUGGCAGCAGUGGGGAAUAUUGCACAAUGGUGGGGACCCUGAUGCAGCAACGCCGCGUGAAGGAGGACGGUUUUCGGAUUGUAAACUUCUAUCUAUCGGGAAGCAAGAAAUGACGGUCCCUCACUAAUAAGCCCCGGCUAACUACGUGCCAGCAGCCGCGGUAAUACGUAGGGGGCAAGCGUUAUACGGAAUUACUGGGUGUAAAGGGAGAGUAGGCGGCAAGGUAAGCGAUAUGUGAAAGCCUUAGGCUUAACCUGAGGAUUGCAUAACGAACUAUCUAGCUAGAGUACAGGAGAGGAAAGCGGAAUUCGUAGUGUAGCGGUGAAAUGCGUAGAUAUUAGGAAGAACACCAGUGGCGAAGGCGGCUUGCUGGACUGAAACUGACGCUGAGGCUCGAAAGCGUGGGGAGCGAACAGGAUUAGAUACCCGUGUAGUC
rnacentral:rRNA from 1 species